rnacentral:rRNA from 1 species
AUUGAACGCUGGCGGCGGGCCUAACACAUGCAAGUCGAACGAGUGGCGGACGGGUGAGUAAUGUCUGGGAACCUGCCCGAUGGAGGGGGAUAACUACUGGAAAAGGUAGCUAAUACCGCAUACCAUGGGAUGUGCCCCGAUGGGAUUAGCUAGUAGGUGGGGUAAAGGCUCACCUAGGCGACGAUCCCUAGCUGGUCUGAGAGGAUGACCAGCGACACGGGAACUGAGACACGGGCCAGACGCCUACGGGAGGGAGCAGAUGGGAAUAGUGCACAAUGGGCGCAAGCCUGAUGCAGCCAUGCCGCGUGUAUGAAGAAGGCCUUCGGGUUGUAAAGUACUUUCAGCGAGGAGGCGUUACUCGCAGAAGAAGCACCGGCUAACUCCGUGCCAGCAGCCGCGGUAAUAC